rnacentral:hammerhead_ribozyme from 1 species
AUUCAGCUGACGAGUCCAGAAUAGGAUGAAACGUGAGUCAUGGAU